rnacentral:lncRNA from 1 species
GAUGACGCUGUUCCGGCACCUCCCAUCCUGACUCCAAACCCUUUUCAGCUACCUCCCCUGCUUCCUCCAAACCCCAUUCAGCCUCCUCCCUUGCUUCCUCCCAACCCUUUUCAGCCACCUCCCCUGCUUCCUCCAAACCCCUUUCAGCCUCCUCCCUUGCUUCCUCCCAACCCUUUUCAGCCACCUCCCCUGCUUCCUCCAAACCCCUUUCAGCCUCCUCCCUUGCUUCCUCCCAACCCUUUUCAGCCACCUCCCCUGCUUCCUCCAAACCCCUUUCAGCCUCCUCCCUUGCUUCCUCCCAACCCUUUUCAGCCGCCACCAGCUCCACUUAUUCCAAACCCGUUUCAGC